GGACCUGGCUGAUGCGUAGUGCUGGUAACAGGGUUUCCCUGGGUUGGUCCCUAUGUGAUGUUUCUAAUGUGAAAUGCAGCCUGUGAAAGAGAAGACAAUGCCUCGAGUCUGAUCUGUCCUAAGAUGAAUGUGCUAAUGCUCCAGGACCGAUAAGACAGAGGAGGUCAAGAAGGGGCCUUGUGGCCUGCUUCAAGCUAGAAGUCUACUGUGGUCGAUGAAAAAAUGCCCUACCCAAAGGUAUCUACAUCCUAAUCCCAGAAUUUGUGAUUUUUACAGAGGUGAUUAAGUUAUAAAACUUUAGAUGGGAAGAUUAUCUCAGAUUACUUGGGUGUGUUUAAUAUAAUCACAAGGACCCUAAAAGUAGAAGAGGUUUGCAGAAGAGAGGGAAAGAGGAGAUAGAAGAAAGAGCAGUGUAAGAACUCAGUU
rnacentral:lncRNA from 1 species